GACGAACGCUGGCGGCGUGCUUAACACAUGCAAGUCGAACGGAAAGGCCCUGCUUUUGUGGGGUUCUCGAGUGGCGAACGGGUGAGUAACACGUGAGUAACCUGCCCUUGACUUUGGGAUAACUUGAGGAAACUGGUGCUAAUACCGGAUAGGAGCUCCUGCUGCAUGGUGGGGGUUGGAAAGUUUCGGCGGUUGGGGAUGGACUCGCGGCUUAUCAGCUUGUUGGUGGGGGAGUGGCUUACCAAGGCUUUGACGGAUAGCCGGCAUGAGAGGGUGAACGGCCACAUUGGGCCUGAGGUACGGACCAGAGUGCAACGGGAGGCAGCGGUGGGGAAUAUUGCACAAUGGGCGGAAGCGUGAUGCAGCGACGCCGCGUGCGGGAUGACGGCCUUCGGGUUGUAAACCGCUUUAGCCUGUGACGAAGCGUAAGUGACGUUACUGGGUAAAGAAGCACCGGCUAACUACGUG
rnacentral:rRNA from 1 species